rnacentral:rRNA from 1 species
AUUGAACGCUGGCGGCAGGCCUAACACAUGCACGUCGAGCGAGCGGCGGACGGGUGAGUAAUGUCUGGGAAACAGACUGAUGGAGGGGGAUAACGACUGGAAACGGUAGCUAAUACCGCAUAACAUCAGAUGUGCCCAGAUGGGAUUAGCUAGUAGGUGGGGUAACGGCUCACCUAGGAGACGAUCCCUAGUGGGUCUGAGAGGAUGACCAGCCAAACUGGAACUGAGACACGGUCCAGACUCCUACGGGAGUCAGCAGUGGGGAAUAUGGCACAAUGGGCGCAAGCCUGAUGCAGCCAUGCCGCGUGUGUGAAGAAGGCCUUCGGGUUGUAAAGCACUUUCAGCGGGGAGGCGUUACCCGCAGAAGAAGCACUGGCUAACUCCGUGCCAGCAGCCGCGGUAAUAC